UACGGGAGGCAGCAGUGGGGAAUAUUGCACAAUGGGCGAAAGCCUGAUGCAGCUAUGCCGCGUGUAUGAAGAAGGCCUUAGGGUUGUAAAGUACUUUCAUCGGGGAGGAAAAAACAAAACUAAUAAUUUUAUUUCUUGACGUUACCCGAAAAAGAAGCACCGGCUAACUCCGUGCCAGCAGCCGCGGUAAUACGGAGGGUGCUAGCGUUAAUCAGAAUUACUGGGCGUAAAGAGCACGUAGGUGGUUUUUUUAAAGUCAGAUGUGAAAUCCCUGGGCUUAACCUGGAACUGCAUUUUGAAACUGAAAUACUAGAGUAUCGUAGAGGGAGGUAGAAUUCUAGGUGUAGCGGUGAAAUGCGUAGAUAUCUGGAGGAAUACCUGUGGCGAAAGCGGCCUCCUAAACGAAUACUGACACUGAGGGUGCGAAAGCGUGGGGAGCAAACAGGGAUUAGAUACCCGU
rnacentral:rRNA from 1 species